GUCAUUUCACAUUGAAACACAGAUUCUCAUAUGAUCACCAAAGUUAAACAAUGUUGAGCCUGGUCAGUACCUAGAUGAGUGACCGCAUGUGAAUAUCAGGUGCUGUAAG